rnacentral:rRNA from 1 species
AGUGAACGCUGACGGUAGGCCUAACACAUGCAAGUCGAACGGCAGCACAGUAAGAGCUUGCUCUUACGGGUGGCGAGUGGCGGACGGGUGAGGAAUACAUCGGAAUCUACUUUUUCGUGGGGGAUAACGUAGGGAAACUUACGCUAAUACCGCAUACGACCUACGGGUGAAAGCAGGGGAUCUUCGGACCUUGCGCGAUUGAAUGAGCCGAUGUCGGAUUAGCUAGUUGGCGGGGUAAAGGCCCACCAAGGCGACGAUCCGUAGCUGGUCUGAGAGGAUGAUCAGCCACACUGGAACUGAGACACGGUCCAGACUCCUACGGGAGGCAGCAGUGGGGAAUAUUGGACAAUGGGCGCAAGCCUGAUCCAGCCGUACCGCGUGGGUGAAGAAGGCCUUCGGGUUGUAAAGCCCUUUUGUUGGGAAAGAAAAGCAGCAGGUUAAUACCCCGCUGUUCUGACGGUACCCAAAGAAUAAGCACCGGCUAACUUCGUG